GACGAACGCUGGCGGCGUGCUUAACACAUGCAAGUCGAACGAAGUGGCGAACGGGUGAGUAACGCGUAAUCAACCUGCCCUUCCGAGGGGGACAACAGUUGGAAACGACUUCUAAUACCGCAUACUGAAGGAGGGGAUUGCGUCUGAUUAGCUAGUUGGAGGGGUAACGGCCCACCAAGGCGAUGAUCAGUAGCCGGUCGGAGAGGAGGAACGGCCACAUUGGGAAUGAGACACGGCCCAGACUCCUAAGGGAGGCAGCAGUGGGGAAUAUUGGACAAUGGGCGAAAGCCUGAUCCAGCCAUGCCGCGUGUGUGAAGAAGGUCUUCGGAUUGUAAAGCACUUUAAUUUGGGAGCGUUACCCGCAGAAGAAGCACCGGCUAACUACGUGCCAGCAGCCGCGGUAAUUC
rnacentral:rRNA from 1 species